UACGUAGGUGGCGAGCGUUGUCCGGAUUUAUUGGGCGUAAAGGGCGCGCAGGUGGUGCGGUAAGGCUGCCGUGAAAUCUCCCGGCUCAACUGGGAGGGGGCGGUGGCGACUGCCGGACUGGAGGCACUCAGAGGCCGGUGGAAUUCCCGGUGUAGUGGUGAAAUGCGUAGAGAUCGGGAGGAACACCAGUGGCGAAGGCGGCCGGCUGGGGGUGACCUGACGCUGAGGUGCGAAAGCGUGGGGAGCAAACAGG
rnacentral:rRNA from 1 species